rnacentral:tRNA from 1 species
GUCUCUGUGGCGCAAUGGGUUAGCGCGUUCGGCUGUUAACCGAAAGGUUGAUGGUUCGAAUCGAUCCAGCGACG